rnacentral:rRNA from 1 species
CGAACGCUGGCGGCGUGCUUAACACAUGCAAGUCGAACGGAAAGGCCCUGCUUUUGUGGGGUGCUCGAGUGGCGAACGGGUGAGUAACACGUGAGUAACCUGCCCUUGACUUUGGGAUAACUUCAGGAAACUGGGGCUAAUACCGGAUAGGAGCUCCUGCUGCAUGGUGGGGGUUGGAAAGUUUCGGCGGUUGGGGAUGGACUCGCGGCUUAUCAGCUUGUUGGUGGGGUAGUGGCUUACCAAGGCUUUGACGGGUAGCCGGCCUGAGAGGGUGACCGGCCACAUUGGGACUGAGAUACGGCCCAGACUCCUACGGGAGACAGCAGUGGGGAAUAUUGCACAAUGGGCGGAAGCCUGAUGCAGCAACGCCGCGUGCGGGAUGACGGCCUUCGGGUUGUAAACCGCUUUCGCCUGUGACGAAGCGUGAGUGACGGUAAUGGGUAAAGAAGCACCGGCUAACUACGUG